GAUGAACGCUGGCGGCGUGCCUAAUACAUGCAAGUCGAGCGAACGGACGAGAAGCUUGCUUCUCUGAUGCUAGCGGCGGACGGGUGAGUAACACGUGGAUAACCUACCUAUAAGACUGGGAUAACUUCGGGAAACCGGAGCUAAUACCGGAUAAUAUUUUGAACCGCAUGGUUCAAAAGUGAAAGACGGUCUUGCUGUCACUUAUAGAUGGAUCCGCGCUGCAUUAGCUAGUUGGUAAGGUAACGGCUUACCAAGGCAACGAUGCAUAGCCGACCUGAGAGGGUGAUCGGCCACACUGGAACUGAGACACGGUCCAGACUCCUACGGGAGGCAGCAGUAGGGAAUCUUCCGCAAUGGGCGAAAGCCUGACGGAGCAACGCCGCGUGAGUGAUGAAGGUCUUCGGAUCGUAAAAUUCUGUUAUUAGGGAAGAACAUAUGUGUAAGUAACUGUGCACAUCUUGACGGUACCUAAUCAGAAAGCCACGGCUAACUACGUG
rnacentral:rRNA from 1 species